rnacentral:rRNA from 1 species
CCUACGGGAGGCAGCAGUGAGGAAUAUUGGUCAAUGGACGAGAGUCUGAACCAGCCAAGUAGCGUGAAGGAUGACUGCCCUAUGGGUUGUAAACUUCUUUUAUAUGGGAAUAAAAUGUUCCACGUGUGGGAUUUUGUAUGUACCAUAUGAAUAAGGAUCGGCUAACUCCGUGCCAGCAGCCGCGGUAAUACGGAGGAUCCGAGCUUUAUCCGGAUUUAUUGGGUUUAAGGGGAGCGUAGGUGGAUUGUUAAGUCAGUUGUGAAAGUUUGCGGCUCAACCGUAAAAUUGCAGUUGAAACUGGCAGUCUUGAGUACAGUAGAGGUGGGCGGAAUUCGUGGUGUAGCGGUGAAAUGCUUAGAUAUCACGAAGAACUCCGAUUGCGAAGGCAGUUCACUGGACUGCAACUGACACUGAGGCUCGAAAGUGUGGGUAUCAAACAGGAUUAGAUACCCCAGUAGUC